UACGAAGGUGGCAAGCGUUACUCGGAUUUACUAGGGCGUAAAGGGCAGGUAGGUGGUCUGAUUAGUCUGGCUGUCGUAAGCUCCCGGCUUAACUGGGAGAGGUCAGCGGAUACUGUCAGGCUUGAGUAUGGGAGAGGGUACUGGAAUUCCUGGUGUAGCGGUGAAAUGCGCAGAUAUCAGGAGGAACACCAAUGGCGAAAGCAGGUACCUGGACCAUUACUGACACUCGAGCGCGAAAGCCUAGGGGAGCAAACAGG
rnacentral:rRNA from 1 species